CACGAUCCAACCUGGGUCGUUCGUCUUCAUCCUUUGGACAGGCUCAGGCAACGAGCCAGCGCCGCACCCCACUCGCGCCCGACCCCUCCCCUUCUCUCCCUCUCCACCAAACUGCUCUGAACGGAUUCCUCACGCCCUCCCUAACUCCUGAUCUUCCGUUACCCGCACUAAACCGUGCCCUAAUGGCCAUUAGAACACCGGAAACGGCCGCGAUGAAGAUGCCAUAAUUCCGACGACGCCCUGCGUCGUUCCGACCUCCCCUGCAUCCUAUAAAAGGCCCCCUCCCCUCACAACUCUCUCCUUGCCCGAACCCCUCUCCUUCGGGAGCUUAUACCCCUCCCAUCGUCGUGAAUUGCUCACCGGAGUUGCUUGACACCGCUGCUGUUCGUGGAAGGUUCCGGCGAGUUCGAGCCGGAGCACGAGUUUCACGUUGUUCGCUUCCGGCCGGAGUUCCGCCCAACUCCGGCGACAUCUAGCAGCCAUCUAAGGACGAACCAGGAGCCGCGUCGUGUCCCGGAGACUCACCUCGACUUCCUCUACUCCGUCCACCUCUCCUUCGUUGCUGUUAAAAGGGAGAAAGAGGAUUGGUGGAAUAGAUUGUUGUAUUGCUUGAGCCUCGUGGCAUAUAUAUGCAAAAGAGACCGUAAGAAAAUA